rnacentral:rRNA from 1 species
UACGUAGGGUGCAAGCGUUGUCCGGAAUUAUUGGGCGUAAAGAGCUCGUAGGCGGUUUGUCGCGUCUGGUGUGAAAAUCCAGGGCUUAACCCUGGACCUGCAUCGGGUACGGGCAGACUAGAGUGCGGUAGGGGAGAUCGGAAUUCCUGGUGUAGCGGUGAAAUGCGCAGAUAUCAGGAGGAACACCGGUGGCGAAGGCGGAUCUCUGGGCCGUAACUGACGCUGAGGAGCGAAAGCAUGGGGAGCAAACAGG